rnacentral:lncRNA from 1 species
AACCACUUUACAAUAGUGCAUCUAAAUCUUUUAAGGGGGGGGGGGGUUAGAAGGAUUACUUUAUCCUAUCCUAGGUAUUCCUUAAAGAGGUGGGGUUUCAGGUGUCUCCGGAAGGUGGUGAUUGACACCGCUGUCCUGGCGUCGUGAGGGAGCUUGUUCCACCAUUGGGGUGCCAGAGCAGCGAACAGUUUUGACUGGGCUGAGCGGGAACUGUGCUUCCUCAGAGGUAGGGAGGCGAGCAGGCCAGAGGUGGAUGAACGGAGUGCCCUUGUUUGGGUGUAGGGCCUGAACAGAGCCUGAAGGUACGGAGGUGCCGUUCCCCUCACAGCUCCGUAGGCAAGCACCAUGGUCUUGUAGCGGAUGCGAGCUUCGACUGGAAGCCAGUGGAGAGAGCGGAGGAGCGGGGUGACGUGAGAGAACUUGGGAAGGUUGAACACCAGACGGG